GAACGAACGCUGGCGGCAUGCCUAACCCAUGCAAGUCGAACGAGACCUUCGGGUCUAGUGGCGCCCGGGUGCGUAACGCGUGGGAACCUGCCCUUAGGUUCGGAAUAACUCCCCGAAAGGGGUGCUAAUACCGGAUAAUGUCUUCGGACCAAAGAUUUAUCGCCUUUGGAUGGGCCCGCGUUGGAUUAGCUAGUUGGUAGGGUAAAAGCCUACCAAGGCGACGAUCCAUAGCUGGUCUGAGAGGAUGAUCAGCCACACUGGGACUGAGACACGGCCCAGACUCCUACGGGAGGCAGCAGUGGGGAAUAUUGGACAAUGGGCGAAAGCCUGAUCCAGCAAUGCCGCGUGAGUGAUGAAGGCCUUAGGGUUGUAAAGCUCUUUUACCCGGGAUGAUAAUGACAGUACCGGGAGAAUAAGCUCCGGCUAACUCCGUG
rnacentral:rRNA from 1 species